rnacentral:rRNA from 1 species
ACCGGGGCGACAGCAAUAUGAAGGUCAGGCUGAAGACCUUACCGGAUUAGCUGAGAGGUGGUGCAUGGCCGUCGUCAGUUCGUACUGUGAAGCAUCCUGUUAAGUCAGGCAACGAGCGAGACCCACGUCCACAGUUGCCAGCAUACCCUCCGGGGUGAUGGGUACACUGUGGAGACCGCCGCUGCUAAAGCGGAGGAAGGAAUGGGCAACGGUAGGUCAGUAUGCCCCGAAUCUCCCGGGCUACACGCGGGCUACAAUGGUUGGUACAAUGGGCAUCUACCCCGAAAGGGGAAGGAAAUCUCUUAAAGCCAAUCGUAGUUCGGAUUGAGGGCUGCAACUCGCCCUCAUGAAGCUGGAAUCCGUAGUAAUCGCGUUUCAACAGAACGCGGUGAAUACGUCCCUGCUCCUU